AGGGCUAUAGCUCAGUUGGUAGAGCGCCUCGUUUAAGGUCUACGGUUCGAAUCCGUAUAGCCCUA
rnacentral:tRNA from 1 species